rnacentral:rRNA from 1 species
UACGUAGGGUGCGAGCGUUAAUCGGAAUUACUGGGCGUAAAGCGUGCGCAGGCGGCCGUGCGUGUCAGGUGUGAAAGCCCGGGGCUUAACCCCGGAAUUGCGCCUGAAACUACAUGGCUAGAGCAUUGGAGAGGGUAGCGGAAUUCACGGUGUAGCAGUGAAAUGCGCAGAUAUCGUGAGGAACACCAGAGGCGAAGGCGGCUACCUGGACAAUUGCUGACGCUCAGGCACGAAAGCGUGGGGAGCAAAAGGG